UCACUGGUACCUUCUCUGUCAGAUAUUUGAAGACCGUCUUCUUUUCCCCUGCUUCGUAUAUAUUGCACUGAGAUAGAAUCUGAAGUGAAGAGAACAAGAGGUGGCCAUCAAGUUCAACAAAGGGCACACAUUUGCCUUGUGAACCUUGCCGAAUCGAACACGAGGAUGCCGCUGCCGCGUUCCGUCAAAGAAGCAGUGAUGGAUCGUCACGCCGAUGCACCUGUCGGCGAUGUUGCAGCUGUUUCCCCCAAUUAGAAUCGUUUUGUUGUGCUCUGAGAAGUGGCAUCUGCCAUUGAGAAAUAAGAGCUAUCAACUUUAAGGUGCCGGUAAA